CUUCCUCGGGUCUGGGCCGCUACUCCCACUGUCCUGACCGGCCUCUGCGUCCUCGGCAACAAAAAAACACCGCGGCAUGGCGCGUUUGCAGAGCCUCGCCGCCCUCGCCGCGGCGGCGGCGGCCGCCGUCCUCGCAGGCAGUUCGCAGGCCUGCUCCACAAACGCAAGUGCGGCCGCUUGACCGCGCGGCUGCGGGAGCUAGAGGACUCCCUGGCCGACGCCGUGGAGAAGGCCGCCGCAGGAUUCGGGCUCAGCAGUCACUACGGAGGGCCCUCAGCGAGCAGGGGGGCAGCCCGGAUAGGGGGAAGCCGGCCAAGGCCCCGGCGUUGUACCCGAUGUCGGCGACCGGCACCGUGCAGUCCUGCUUCUCCACCAGGUGCUGUUCUGUCACUCAACGAGCUUGAUUACUCGGAGCAGCUCCCCACCACGAGAUCCUACACAGUACCAUUUUGUAAGAAAAAUUGGAAACAAACCAAAGAAAAGAAACUCCCCACCACGAGAUUUGCCAUUUAUUCCGCACACACAAAAUAUUUGUCGCACAUAAACUAAAUCUUGACCUCUAAUUCAAAAUAAACGAACUCAUGAAAUUGCUUCAAUUGUGAAUGAUGAUUUUCUUGUAACAGUAAGUAGCAAAGUGGCCCGUGCAAAUGCGCGUAUAUGUAUCUCUACCAGUUUUAUGGCCUCCCCUAGCUAGAUAGUCAGUAAUAUUGCACUUGGAGUCAUAUGGCUCAUGUGUGAUUUUUGUGCAUGUAGCAACACGAAACACAUGAUAUAGAAGAUGAUUUAUAAACUACAUCACUUAAAAGCCUCAAAUUUCAUUUGAAGACCAAAAGUAUAGUGAUAUUAUUUCAGGAGAAUAUAUGUUUCCGAAGCCGACGUAGAUAGUAUCUAUCUCAUUUCAUUCUGCAAAGUUAUUAUACAAAAAUUUCGCCUGAAUUGCAUAAAUUUCAAAUUGCAACCUCUGAACCUCAAUUAGUACUUCACAUCAAUACAAUGAAAGAUCAGUCAUCAUCCAUGUCCUAAUGAGUUAAUAAAUUACCCCAGGAAAGCAAAGAAUCAAGUAAGGAAACAUUUCAUACACUGAAUGUGAUGUAGAGGAAAUCUCUAACAAGCAUCAUACACUGAAUCAAGUAAAGAAUCAAGCAAGUAUCUUCAAUCUGAUGGAUCACCUGCUGCCAACGACGCAUCCGGCACCUUGGGCACCGGGAUUGACGCAUCCGGCACCUUGGGGUCCGGGGUUGGGACAUCCGGCGCCUUGGGGGUCGGGGUUGGGCUGCCGGCGACCUGGGGGUCGGGGUUGGGGCUGCCGGGGACCUGCCCAUCGCGUCCGGCCAGGGUCGAGGGUUUCGUCGAAUUCUUGAUUGGAACAGCGGUGAGGCGGAGUAGGGAGAAGCUGCGAGGUAGGGGAGGGGCUAGGUGCGAGCCGGAAGAGGCGGGGUGCGAGGAGGAAGAGGCAGCCGUGCAGCGGCGGCUGCCAUCGAUCGGCGGCGGCGGUGGGAGUACGCUGCGGCGCCGCCCUCCCUGUACCAGAAGCUAUCGGGAUGGACUAAUAGGGUAAAAGUGGGGUUCCAGUGGGCUAAAGGGGCUAGCCCACUUAAUUUCUUUCUUGUCCAACGGGCUCCCACUAAGGCGUUUUAAGUGGGAUGGGAACUCUAGUCCCACUUAUUCCCGCUUCCACCUGCAGCGUGAUCGGAGCUGGUGAUGUAUGCGUGAAGGCUUGUGGUCUUAUGUGUAUGGGUGUUUGUUUCUGCAGGAAUGGUACACCGAGACAGCCUUUGGUAGUGCCGCUGCCAGAGCAACUGUACUUCUUAACCCUGCCUGUGUCCCAAUUGAAGCGCUAGAGGGAUUCGCUAGUUAAUCGCAUUGUUGGAUCCUCUCUCUAUAAAGAUUAAAGAUUAACAACUUGAGCAAAACGAUAUCUUCAAUUCUGAUCAGCUAGAAAGUCUCCAUUGUGAAGGAUAAGUUCCUGUAAGAAGGUAUGCAUCUACUACUAGGUUACUACUUCAGCUAGGAUGCAUGCUAUCAUUCACCAUCUCAACGUAGUAACCUAAUAACCUGUUCUGACUGGAGGUUAUUGGCCUAUGAUCUCAUAGAGGAUGAAUGGGAUUCAAUCAAUAUAUCAUGAAACCGCAUCACUUGUGUACUUGAUCCAACUAUAGAAGAUUUUUGCUUGGAUCUGUGAAAUAGGUAUCCUUCCUUCUUUCCUAUUCCUACUUAGGGCAUCUCUAGCCGAUCCUCUAAAACCGGUUACUUGGCCGCCCAGCCGCCCGAGCACCUAGCCGAAGUUUAGACCUCUAACCGGCACCUAGCCAAAGUCAUAAACCGAAUAGAGCUCCUCGGCACUGCGGGCUCCUAUUUUUACUUGGCCGUCCAGCUGCCCAAGCAAAAGCAGCCCCCCUCUUCCCUCGGCCUCACCAACCCCACCCCCCGCCGCAUCUACUCCGUCGGCAACCACGCGCCACCGCUGGCCCCCGGAGGACCCACCGCGCUCCUCCCCCACCCGGAUUUCGUCCUCUCUCGCCGCCAACGGCACCUAAGUCGGCAGAUCUAUGGCCCCUCGUCAUCGGCGGCGGAUUCGAUGCAUCCCAGCCGCCGGCGCCAUCACGUUUUCGAUGGAUCCGACGGGGACUGAACCACGCAGCCCCCUCAACCACUCUGCGCCGCAUCUCGGUAUGUCCUCUCGGCGCUCGGAUCUCACUCAUCAACCUACCAACGGCAGAGCCAUGUCUGGCCGUCGCCUGGGCUCAGCACUAGUCCAGCGACUCGUCGGCUCGCUGCUGCCGGUCAUCAAGUGUGACCACUACCCGCGGCUGGUGCUGCGCCGAGUUUCAAGCACGCCGAAACAUCCUGGAUGAGUGUUCUUCAAAUGCGAAAACAACGGGGUGAGUGGCUAUUUUGUGGUUUUCUUCAGAUUCGUCGCAAUUUGGGACUUAUUGUUUGCUCAAAAUUGUAUGUAGGAAGGAUGCAAGUUUUGGUAUUGGGAAGAAGAAUACAUCAAUCUAUUGGUAGGGAGAAAUUUGCUAGAUGUUCGUACACUACUUGCUAGAGUUGAGACUAUAGAGACGACGCGAUGUCCAAUUGUGUGUAGGCGGAGAAGAACAAAGUGUGCAAGCUCAAGAAGUCGAUAGCGAAAAGCAAUAAUGUGGGCACUGAAGAUAUAGAGAAAGUAUUAAACGAACCAGUGGGAGCAGUUAGGGCACUUGGAUUUCUAUUAAAGUGUCUAAUUAUUCUUGUAGUUUUCUUUGGUCGGUUCUCUUAGAGAAGACUUGGUGAAAUGUGUAACCAUCAUGUCGUUUAAUAAAGUAAUAUAAGAGAAGUUUAUUUCGGUUGCCGGAAAUUAAAUGAAUUUGAUAAAAACAAAAUUUUACUCUGAAUUUAGGGGAUCGGCUAGAAACGACCAAAACUUAGAGGAGUAAAAAUACUCCACUAAGGUUUACACGGCCAUUUACUCCUCUAAAAUUUAGGGGAUCGGCUAGAGAUGCUCUUACAAAGGUUGGAGUUGGUGGUGAGUUCACAUGUGAGACCAACAAUCUUUGUCAAUAAACAAAUGCAUGCCUACCCACAUGUGGGACUAGCAACCUUCGAAGAUACAUACAUAAACAAAUGUGCUUUUAGUCACAUGUGGGAACUAACACAAAUAAACAAAUACACUACUACUUUUAUGUGACACCAACACUUAUAGAUGACACAAAUAACAAAUGUGCUCUUGUUUUCAGUUUCUUUUCCCAACCAAGUUCUUCAAGUUCUAUAUCACAGGACAAGAGAGUGAACAAAUUGUAAUUCCAAAGCGACGAUAGACCUUGCCCUCCUACCCGAACCCGAUCCAUGAACUUGUGCGGUCAACAUAUUAAUGCCCAAUGUUAUGUCUUGCAAAGGACCUACUAUGAUCGCUUAAGAUUCUCCAAUGCCUGCUGCAUGAUCUUUCAUUGUAUUUUCGCUCUUUUUAAUCGUGAACCGCGUGCAAAGACCGCAGGACACCAACAUAUUUUGACAACUUCCUAAGCCAGUGACAUAAGUCCUCAUAUUUGCAGUUUCAUAGCAAUGCAUGAGCAUUGUGCUAGUACCAAAAAACAUGCCACAUACAUAUACGUAAUUUAUUUAAAUUGCAGGAAUCAUAAGGGAGUUAUGGCAAAAGUAAGCCUGCUAUAAAAAUGCAACUGGUCAGUUUGAAAAUGCAAAAUGGAUGGGGGUUUAUUCAAGCUGUAUUUGAGAAAAACAUGAGAUUGGUAUCCAAUCAAAUAAAAUGAGAUUCUGCAGUUCUAAGUGGUUACAAAUUAAAACCCUGCCGCAAAUAACUCUUAGCUAAGCUCACUGUGAGAACAGAGGAUCUUAAAAAUGUAUUGAACUUCACAUGAGCUCCACUUGCAGGCCAGUAGUUCUUUUACCCCUGGAAAUGACAGUUGACCCAUUGCUGGACAUAACUAUGGUUGUCUCAGGUGCCAGUUCUAAACUGGUUUGCUGUUCUAGCCCAUUUUCCUCUUGGCCUGCUCGCUGUGUAUUUUGUUCAACUCUUGUUGAGUCUUGAUUUCCUUCUUGCAGCUCACUGUUUUCCUCAUUUAUUCCAUUUUCUUCUGGUCGAUUUGUAUUGUCUAACAUGAUCUUUGUUGACUUGUGCUUCUUUUUGUAGAAAUAAAUUAUCAAUGCAAUCAAAAGGGAAGAAGUUGAAGCAACUCCAGUAAGUAUGAAUAGUCCCCUGAAGUUCGCAAACGUGAGUGUGCUUGAGCCAGUGAGAGGGCCAACAUUCUGGCAAUUGUUUUGAUCCCCAAACCAUUUCUUCUCAAUUUGGAUCAUAGUAUCCCCCCCGGUUACGUUGAGGAUUGCAUUUGAGAUGUCCCUAAGUAAGGGAUUUCCCUUUGAUAAUGCCUGUGCAACAAAUGUGGUCAUUUUAUUGUUCAUUUACACCAACCAUCAAAACUGAAUCAUAUCUUAUCUGACUGAGGUAAAAGUAUAACUCUAUAAGCUUAAUCAAACAUUAUAAACUAUUUAGUAAUCUGUCUGGCCCUAACCUCUUAUCACAUGAAUACAUGAUUGCUAGUAGGCAGUAGGAACCAUAAUUUAGUAGGUUAUCAGACCAAGAUAAUUAGUAUAGGAUGUUCAGAUGUAUUUAUGUGAUUGCUAGUUGAAUUAACUUUUUUUUGAGAACCAAUUGAUUUUGUUAUAGUUACUUUCUCUGUAGGUAUAUAGUGUGAAAGAAGCAUAUCUAAUGUAGUUAAACUUACAUAUCCAAAACCUGCAGCCUUGUAAAUUGGGCCCACCAUUGUGUACCCCUUGCAGUGGUUUGACAGGAAUAGUUUAAUGUACGGAACCUCAUGCACAAGAGCAGCAAUACCACCAUUGUUGCUUCCUCGGGAAAGUGCUUCGUGAAAAUCAUCAGGAUCGUAGGGCUUGAUCUUCAACCUGUCAAAACUGAGCUCUUCUAAAAGUCCCUUGACGUAUGAGCCAUGUUGAUAUCCUACACAUUCUCCACUUUUUAGGAGCUCAUGCACAUCUGUUACUGUUGGCUGAAGCUGUUGUACAGUUAGCAUUGAUGACAAGCUCACAGUGUAACUUGAUGUAAGCACCAUCAGAAAUACUAGCCAAACGAUCAAAACUAUCCGGGACAGAAAGCGUUGCACAAGCUCUUCUGCAGAAGUCACAAUAAAAUAAAUUAGAUAAUUUUUGGCCAUCUCAAGUCCAAAGUUGAAAAAUGCAACAUUCAUAUCAUAUUAUUUUGUCAGUUAUAGUACAACAUGAUUCUAUGAUAAUUAUUUUUCCUCUGUUUACUGCAUAUUAAAUAUCUAAUAUUAUAAGUGUAUCGAUGAAGCUACCGUUUUUUUUUAAAUGCAAAGUUACCCAGAUAUGUUCGGGAAAUAUCAUAUGCAUUAUAUGUUUGUUAAUAGUUGUGUGGCUGUUAGUUCUUCACACGAAACCUCUCAGCUUGAUGUUGUAUAUUAUGCACCAACAUAGGAAAUGGAUAGAUCGUGGUAAGUGUACUCAACUCCCUUCAAAUAUGGAGAAAAAGAUCAUAAUCCCCAGCUGGCUGGGAAUUGGCCCCCGAACAUUCUUGUUGUUUCCUAGAAAUUCCAAUAUCAAUACGACCACACCGGUGUAGAUAAAGAAUACAACGCUUCCAAACCACAUGCCAGGUGCUAGUGGCUUCAAGAAAAUCCAUGUGUUCCUGUUUAUGCUAUCCCUUACUGGAACAAUCAUUGCUAUUCCCGAUUCUGUGUAUGGCAGAGUGAAGUCGACGUAGAAAGUUCGGUUAUACCUUAUUGUUAUAUCUCCAAUUGCUAUAUCAUAUAUCUGUAAGGGCAAAAAAAAAAAAACUGUUAGCUUGCUGAUAGAAAAUAGUUUCUGCCUUGAGUCUCCUUUUGGUAAGAGUGCUAGAGUUCGGAAUAUAAAGAAUUAAUUAAGAGUAGCACUCAAUAGAUAGUUGCACUUGCUUCGUAUGUUGUUGCCAUGUAAAAUAAUUGUUUGUACUAUCUCCUCUCAUAAAAGGGGUUACUGUUGCUGUCAGAAUUUUAAUACCAUGUAACUGGUGUUACGCACCGAAAUAUCAUGUGGCAUCUUUAGGUGGCUUCUUACAAAAACUACUGAAAACAGAUAAUGGAACAAGCUUAUAUGACCAGUGCUCGAAAGCAGAGAAGGAUGGCAAUGGUUCUGAAGUACAGCAUGAAAUAAGUUCAAAACAUCCAUCAUCCAAUAAAAAUAUUUGGUAUCUUGCCUCUAACAUGUUAAAUGACAUGUGUGCAUGAUGCUUCAUGGUCUCAAAUUGUUACUAACUAAAGAAAAUCAAUUGGGAAUACACUUGUAUGUAUUCAUACCUCAAGAUAAACUUGGUAGACAAAAUCAUUGUAAUCUUCGCUACUUCGAUCAACUGAAAAACCACUUGCUUUAGUUGCACCUGUGAUAUAAUCCUUUUCGACCUUCAUAAAUUCCGGAUAUCCACUUGUGCACACACCAACUUGAAGUUUCUUCCCGCUUACAGGAAUCUGAGAACCCCGGGGUACCUCUGUGGACUCUCCUGGCCAAAUCACAGGAUAUAGGUCAUGCGCUGAGCCCGAAAGUGCUGUUGCAGGUUUGGUUUUAUUUAAUUGCUGUGAGAUUCCAUUUUGUGCAGUCCAGAAUCCAAUUUCUCUCCAUCCUUUCCCUAUCACAUUUAUUAUUUGAAAUGUUGAAAUUUGCAGCUGCCUGUCUGAAAGGUCAAAAUUGCCACUGAGGCCUUCAAAUUGAUUCUGCAAGAUUUCUUGUAAUAGUUUUGGACCAUUACUAGAUGUUUUCAAGGUUUCCAAGCUUGUUGAGUUUCUUGUGACACCUGGUUUUGUAAAUGUGGCAUUUUUAAGUCCAACUUUUUCUGCAGCUUGUGCUACUACCCAGAUUGUAUCAUAGCUCCACAUUCCAAAGGUGCUUAAUUUCAACGGUAAAUCAGUUGGGUUGUCAGUUUGGAAUCUCUUAUUCCAUCUCGUGGUGAAGUCAUCAAGUUUCGUUGAUUUGGGAACAUAAAACUUGACACCUAAGAUACCACUCAAUGAUUUUAGAACAGAAGGAUUCAGUGAAUCUAUGAGAUUGGUUACUCCAUCUGUCAUGAUCCAUGCAUAUCCUUUGUUCAUCAUCCCUACAUCUUUUGCCUUGAUGAGGACACGGGAAGCCAUGGUAAAUGACAUAUGCACAACAAAGACCGUCGUUUGCAUUGUCAUCAACUUGUAGAGUUCUAGGGUAAUUUGUAAACUAGUUGCUGAUGGAGGGAGCACACUUUGGUAGGGAACAUGGGCAUCGAUGUCUUCUAGGACAUCGACAAGGUAUGGUAUGAUACCUCUCCCAUACUCGGUAUCUUCAUAGAUAGUCACGACCUUUCUCCACCCAUAGCUUUUAACUAUGGAGGCAAUGCAAUUCAGCUGUGCCGAGUCAUUUACUGUUGCUCGCACAAAAUAUGGAAGACUUUUAGAUGACAGAGAUGGGCUUGUUGCUGUGAAGGAUAUAACUGGGACAUGACUUCUAUUUCCCAGCUUCGAGAUAAAUACAGCUUGCGAAGAUUUCUGAGGACCAAUAAUGGCUUCUACAUUGUAAUCUUCCAGCAGGUUAAUAGCUGUAAAAUUGCAUAUGAAGGAAAACUUUAGUUGAAGAUCCUACAUAAAAGGAAUAACAGAAGAUGAAGAAGCCUCUAAGUUGCACUCGUCUGAAAAGUGAAGCUUCAGUCCACAUGUUGCCACUCACAUAUAUUAAUAGCGUGUAGGAGAGCAGAAUAGGUGAUAACUAGUUAACUGGUUCCAAUUAGGAUUAUUUAUCUUGCACAUAUUUUAUAUGUAUGGUUUCCUCUUGAUGGCUCCGAAAUAUUAGUUUUGGUAGCACACGAUAAAUUGUUUGUCACUCUGAUCUCAUGAAAGGAUAUGUUAUGAAGCAGAUUCUGCUUUGUAUUACAGAAUAGUACCGCAAGCAAUUACACAACUUAAGCAUGGAUAAUUGUUUUUUGUCCAAUCCAUCAAACAGUUGCUAUAGCUACUGCUUCUGUAGUUUGCAGGUAUUUACUUUCCCUAGUUUCUGCAUGUAUGCUACUGGCUCCCUUAUUUUUCUUGAUAGACACUACUAUUACUAGUUUCAGCUUUAUUAUUAAUCCUCUUCAAGUGUACAUCUCAGGGAAGCUCAUCUAGCAGUAUGCAAUUUGUUUUCACUGUACUUUAUUUAUCAUUCGUAGUUUUUGGAACCUGCAGGAAUUAACCCAGGGUUUUACUCCUUUCAGUUGGAAGCUGACACAUACAACAAUAUGCUCAUUAUAUGAGCAACAAAACUGGCACCUGUGAGUGAGUCAUUGUUUCUUCUCUGCACACUAACAAGUCAACCACUGCAGACCAAAAUUCUGAACACCAGAUUUGCCAACUAUUACCAUUACAGUAGCUAAAAGUUGCAAUUCUUGAUUUUCAGGAGCUCUUCUGCAUGUCGGUUUACCCAUAACCACUUACGAGUACAUCCACAAUCCCAACCCAACUGAGCUAGGCUCAGGUCCUAAGAUGCACAAUUGACGGACGGAGUGCUCAGUUAGUCCAUUUCAGCAGUAAAAGUGUAAAGCAGAAUAAGCCAAUGCAGUGAACUCAUGACAAGAGUUCAGAGCACGUACCUUGAGAUGCAGCUCGGACAUCAUCCCUCAUGGAAUCUCUGAUGUGGAGGACUAGCUUGGUGCUAUAGUUGUGAUGAACAGCAUAGAAGUCCUCCAUAGCCAAUGAAAUGCUGGUCCGUGCUAUUUUGCCAACCAUGGUCUCCAAGUCAAGGAUAACGCCGACAUGGAGUUCCUGUGCUGCCCUAGAAGCAUUUUGGGCGACGACAAAGUUAAGUGGCAGCAAGAGGAGCAGGAUGACUCUACAUGCAAUCUCCAUCUGCUGAGCCAGAGGUUUGCAGACUCUUCUUGCAUUCAGGGGGUGUGGUUAUAUAGACGUUUUUACAGUAGUCCCUGUCCGAGGGUCAGUCAAGCAUUCAAACUGUAGUUUUAGUAUGACGGUGAGCUCAUUUAUUGAGUGGUAUGAAGCGCUGUUUCUAACCUGUGAAUUGCUUGGUAAAAAGGAUUUUGACGAGGUGCUCGAUACAAUUGGUGCCAUCAGUUUGAAGACCUCGCAAGUCAUUAUUCUAUAGACAUUCAUCCAGUGAUCUGUUCUCGGUAAUUUACUCCGCUUACUAAUGCUGGUUAGUCCCGCAAAAAAUGCAACUUUACUUGAAACUCAUUUGCGUCUUAUUGGGCGAUGAAAUGGUCUCACCAUCAAGUUAUUUCUCAAAGCCAGUCACACAGGCUCCUACUGCACAUCUUCCCGGCUGGCGCAUCUGACGGUUGACUUGACUGUACCAGUGAAAUGGUCUACUAUGUACUCCAGUUAGGAUUGGCUCAAUGUGUUAUCGUUUACCCCAGUUGGCAUUUGAUAUAGUAGUUGUUCUCGCUUGUCAGCAGAACGUACAUGUUCAACUUGGAACAAGUCCUACAGCCUGAUCUCACCACUAUGAUUUCUUUCGCUCUUGUUGAUGCAGGGGACAAGAAGUGCUGAUGUCAGAUGGUUUCCCCUGUUAUGAAGCACGGCAGUGCGCCAGUGCCGCAGUAACCUGGUGCAUGGGUCGCGAGACGUCUGCGUAGAAGCCCGCUGCAGUUUUUUGCGAAGCUGAUACGGGACGGCACUGUUUAUGAUCCGGCACCGAGAAGGCCUGUUGAACGGCAAAGGGCAAGUGAGACGGCGAGAAAAAAGAAAGCUCAGUCAGAGCUGGUCGCCGCAGAUGGGGCUUCUGACAACGGUGAGCUGGUGGCGCGCGGGUGCCGGCGUGGCGAUCCGUGAAGAGCAAGGCCGCGCGGUGGGUGAUUUGGUGGCUCGCCGGUGGUGUGUGCAUGCAACGCACUGAAGGAACCCGACUGGCUAGCACGGGAUGAGCCGCGCUGCUUCUGUUGGCAUGCUGCAACCUGCGGGGCUAGCUCCAGAUCGGUGACGGCUUGUGCACGACAAGCAAAAGAGCCGGUGGACCUCCGUGAACUGAUUGGCAUAAUUAUGUGUGUGCGUGUGUGUGGCUGACUCAGAUUCCUGCCUGUACCUUGUAGAUGACCCAAAAUGCAAAACCUCUCCCAGGAGAGAAAAGGAGAGGAUGAAUUGUUUUAAAGAAAUCAGGGGAGAAUUUUUGA